UAAAAUCGAAAAUAAUAAUUAAGAAAUUCAAAAAAUUAAGAAUUAUUUUUUGCGACAAGUGCUUGCAAAUUUUCAUUCCAAAAUAACAUUCAUGAAAGUCAUUGUAAAAAAACAAAAUCAACACUUCAAAAAUACUAUUUGUGGUGAGGUUUAUGUUUUUUUGCCAUGACUUUCACAAAUGUUAUUUCGGGAUGAAAACUUGCAAGCACCAAGGUCAUUUGUCAAAGUUUGCACCGAAGAAGUAUCUCCUGAAGUUGCCACAGACGAUUAUUAUGUUCAGUGGUUUGAUAUGACAACUCUGCUGAAGUUGCUCCUAUAUGAUAUACUCCCUCUGUAAAAAAAAAUAAGAGCUUUUAGAUUACUACUUUAAUGAUUAAAUGCUCUUAUAUUUCUUUAAAGAGGGAGUACAUACAUACAUAUGAACGGCCGUUUUGUUUAUAUAAAUGUCGUACAUACAAGUGGGUGAAGAAGUUUGAAGAGGUCUACUUCCAAAGCAGCAGCCAGCCUGACCGCGCGCUCCCACCGAAGGACGGCGCUGGAGCAGAAGCUCGUGAAGAAAACGUUCAAGCUGAUCGAUGCUCCAGGGAGGGAACCUGGCUGACUGAUGCCUCCAUCGUGGGUGACGCGCCAUGCAUGUUGCAUGAGAUAAGGCUGACCAGAUCAGCUCCACAAGAACAGCUAAGCUAUAACGAUAUUGUCCAACACGCGAUCCCUUUUCAUCUAACUUCACUGACGGCUUCAUCGUUGUCGCCCCCGGCAGCUUUGAUCCGGGCCAUCUGAGAGGUUAGCAGAUGAUGCACCCGUUGCUUCAGCUGGGGAAGAAAAAGGAGACAUAUACAAUCGCACAUUAGCCCAGACACGGUCAUGAUUUUCACAGUCGCAUAAAGAGGCGCAUAACCGCCCGCACAAUAAGACGAUUCACAACUAUAGUCAUGAGGCAGCCAUGAGUUUUGCUGACCUCUUGUGUUCCGGUUUGGCUCUGCACGGACACCCGGAUGGCGUCUUCCGGUCCAAACUCUCUGUAUCUCCUUAAUUCAUCAUCGACGCCAUCAUCAGCGGCAUCGUCGAACCUGGAGGGCGUGGCCCUGUCCAGAAGAUCACAUUUGGACACGACGUCGAUCCAAAGACGGUCGCCAAACCGCUCCUUUAUAUGCUUGUACGUGAUGUACUGCAAAGGAGGAAGAAGUUGUGUUUAGUACAACCAAUCAAGUGGGAGAAUGCAAAACCAAUGGGCUGACCGGCUGACUGCGUCAUCUGUUUGGUAUUGGGAGGCUAGAACCUAUAAGUGACAAAGAAAAUAAAAAUGGAGAGGUAAAUAAAAGAUGCACCUGAUCAGCCACCUUAGUCCCACAGUCUUCAGAUAGAUCAUGGACAUACAGAACAGCAAUUGGCAUGUAAGAAAGGACAGCCAGUGUCAAUCUCUCUAUGUUAUUCCGGUCAUCUGUCAACCACAAAAUUCGGAAUAGAUCAAAAGGGAUGUGAUAAAGGAAAUGCCAGAAUAAUACAGGUGCACAGAACAUGGAAUUUUUGUUAAAGUACAGAGCGGAGAACAUAUAAGCACCCAGGAUAUAGACGUUUGGAAAAAAAUUACUAAUUCAAUAUGAACUAAAAAAAUUCUGAAAAUAUUUUUGAAAUAAACUUGACGAUCCAUUGUAAUCGUAAAAAAAUCCACGAAAGAAAAACCCCCGUUGCCUUCAGGGCAAAUAAACUUGACUUUUUCUUUAAAAAAAUCCCAUAUCGGGUGUAUAUACACACGUGAACCAAAGGGCAUUUCCCAACCAAGAAAGGCUUAUAUAGUGUUGGCAAAUGUCACUGUUACUUACUGGAGAACAUUUUGUUAUGGAUGUACAUUCUACGGGAAAACUGCUGCAAACUUUAUGUAAAAAGNNNNNNNNNNNNNNNNNNNNNNNNNNNNNNNNNNNNNNNNNNNNNNNNNNNNNNNNNNNNNNNNNNNNNNNNNNNNNNNNNNNNNNNNNNNNNNNNNNNNNNNNNNNNNNNNNNNNNNNNNNNNNNNNNNNNNNNNNNNNNNNNNNNNNNNNNNNNNNNNNNNNNNNNNNNNNNNNNNNNNNNNNNNNNNNNNNNNNNNNNNNNNNNNNNNNNNNUAAGGGAAGUCUGACUGACCAUCAUGUCUUGUGAGAAGCCCUGGAGUGUCAGUAACCUACAAAUAUUUUGGUUGUUCAGUGGCGUCAGGUCUUAGAUGAGAAGGAGGAAAUAAGCAUUUUGUCUGAAGAGUAGAGAAAAUAGAAAUGCAUAUGUUUGAACCUGAAAACGUUCAUGAUUGGAUACUAUAUGACCCAUUAGAAUCCCUCUUGUUGUGAAAGGGUAGCUGCAGACCUGCAGAAAGGUGAGGUAGAAUAAGAAAACAGAAACACAAAAUUAUAGAAAUAAAGAAAGGAGAGUAGAAUGAGGCUACAAGGUACACACUCAGUUAGGCUAAGGCCAGACAAAGAACUUGUCAACAUGGCUUAAAAGUAAAUUAAAACAUUUGUGCUUUGAUGUUAAUCAAAAACAAGAAGCCUUAGUGCUAUACAAUGGAGGAACUAUUAGAAAAAGCAGCAUUAAUACUGAAAAAGACAAGAGUACUAAGAAUUGCCAUCUUCAAAGAAUUGUAAAUGAGCACAGUUGUUUAGAAUCUUAAUUACUACUCCCUCCAUCCCAUAAUAUAAGAGCAUUUUUGACACUACACUAGUGUAAAAAACGCUCUUAUAUUAUGGGACGGAGGGAGUAACCAGUAAUACAUGAAUUAUCAGGAAGCUAUGUCUACCGCCAAACUACACUACAGAUAAAUUAAGCAAUAAGCAUUAUUCACUGCUUAGGGAUAUGCUCACCUCUGGUUUUCCAGUGGAUAAUAUUCGAACUAAUGAUGACUUCCCCACAUUGGGUGAUCCAACAAGACAAAGUGUCGGUAUAUGUGGAUCAACAACUGGCAUAGAACGCAAAGCCUGUAAUAGUUUACUGAUCAGUCAGUGCUAAUAACAUAAUAAGUGAAAUAGAAAUCUUAGAAGCCUAAAUAAGUGUGAAAAAAUAAAUUAUGAGACACCAUAAUAAUUUUCUUGGUUUUUCGCCCACAACAAUCCCCAAUGACAAAGUAAGGAAUAUUACCUUUGCAACGUUUAUUAAAUCCUCAAUUGCAUUUUGACCACGCUGGAAAACUUCCUCAAGUUCCUUCCGGCCCUAAAAAAAUAUUAGAUGCAACCAAAGAACUCAUCAAGCAGAGAAAGAAGUGUAAAUAAACUGAUUAUACAUUUGAACAAAAAACAAAAGAUAGUUGGGUCUAGGAAGACACUUAUUUAUAUGUGCUUAAACUUGAACAAACCUCAGUGAGUCGCUCCUCUGCUUCACGCUUCGUCAAAGACUGUCAAUAUCAAAUGUAGAUCGUGAAUCAAAUUUACAAAAUUUAUGCUACUAUUUUGUUGAAAGAGAAGAAGCUCGCAACAGUUAGGGUUUGGCUAUCUAGGCUUAGUAAGUGAACAACAAUGAAUAGCAUACUAAAAGGCUGUUGAAUUGUCCUCGUUCCCAUAGUGGACGACCAAAGUACCUUACCGAGCAUGUCGGUGCAUAUACGGUGUGAUCAUUUUCCCUACAUUAUGUGCUCAUUGUAAUCAUUUCCUAUCAGAAUGCCAAUCUAACUUUGAAACAUAAAUGACUUUAUGUGUCAUCAAUGGUUAUAGUUACUAGUUCCAAAUGUGUUUGUAAGACACUUGUCAAAUGCUUAGUAAAAACAAUACAUGAAUAGUUGCAAUGGUACAAUAUUGAUACAGGUGGGAAUGAAGUUAACAGAGCAUAUGGGUGUGACCAGUUUGGAGGCAGAUGGUCUGAUUCUGUCCUUUUUGUAAUGUUCGUGUCACAUUGAAUUUCUAUUCACUCUUUUACCCUAUUGCAUUUGUUCUUUAGGCUGUUGUACUUGGAUACUUCAUUAUGUGAUUACUGAAUUUUGGUGGUGCUUUUUCUCAACAUGCCGUUUCCUUUUCUUUGAGUUAUUAAAGACAGGAUAAUGUUUGGUUUCAACAAAUGAAGAUGGGAUUGCCCCACAAGGUCUGCAUCUACGCUAACCUUAGCACAGACAGAAGCAUGUUGCUUCCCGACAGAAGUUAUCUUUUUCCUAAGAGCAUCCACUCGCCCUAGUACCUGUCAUAGCACUACCAAUAAAAUCACAAUAACUCUAGAAGUAAAAUGAAGAACUUUCAUGACAAAUACAAUUGAAAGAAUUAGCAACACUGCUAGUUUUGACAUUUGUUCUGUAAUCAUUAGUCCAGUGCUUAUACUCAGAACCGGGAGGGGCAACUUACAUAAGAACUGUACCUUUUCAUAAUAUCCCUCCCCAAAGGUCAACUCAAUGAGAGAUCUCUCAUAAGGAUGUAAAUCUCUCCUUCUAGGGAAGUUCUCUGUAUAAGUUCUCAGUGGCACCGAAAGUUCCUAAAAAACAAAACAGCUCUCAGUAACCAAGUUGAACUAUUUGCAUUGGCAGUGCAACAACAUAGAGGACUUACCUUCAUUAAGGCAUCAAGUUGUUUUGCACCUUUGUUUCUUUCACGCUUGGCUAUGUUUUGUAUACCUACAGAAUAUAUGGAUCUUGAAACAAAAUAGGUGACCCAGAACUGUAUGUGAAAUGUCAUAGUAGCUACAAGGAAAAAAAUGCUAAAAUAUAUGUUAAAUUGAAGAAUACCCUUUGUGGGUGGCACAUUUCUUGAUUUUCUUUGUGCUGACAUAAGUAUAUCAGUUGCAGGCAUCACCAUAGGUAUUCUUUGAAAUGCACCAACCAUUUCACGCUUUUGCACAAGAUCUCCCUGAAUGAAUAUAUAAUAGCAAACAAAAGAAACUUAUGAUGCAUCUGAUAGUAAAUAUACAGUGUGCUAAUGGAAGUAACUUUUGCCUAGUAUAUGUCUUCGUGCUGAAAUUUCAUAUAACAUUAAAAAAUGCACCAAGUACAUGUCAGCUCUUGAGGUGCCAAGAAUUAAUUAGGCCUGAAGCAGAGAAACUCAGUUUCACAGCACUUGAGGUUUAUAUAUAUAUUACACUAUUAACCAGCUCAUUGUUAUUUAGCACUGGUCAAGUAUACUACAGCUGCAGCAUCACGGUUCUUGUAGAUUAUGCAGCUUCGAUAUGCUUACGAACAACCCCUGUGACACCCACAAAGUAAGCCCAGCUACACUCCUAUCAUAUAACCACUAAGCAGAGCAGAAACUCUGGCUAUAAAGAAAAUUCAAGUGAAAAUGCAAAAAACUAGACAAUACACAUGAGAUUAUUUUUUAAUACAUUAUACAGAGAAACAGGAUCUUAAGACUUUGAGGAAGCUAAAUAUGAAUGUAGGUGCACAUACAAGAAUCAGAUCGGUCAGGUGAGAGAAGUUAGAGGAACAAAUUGACACCAACAAAAUAUGGUCUCAAAAUAAAAAUAACACACAGGAAUCUUGGCAAUCAAGAAUAUGCUAAAAUUUUGGUUCAAAAUGAUGACUACCAAAAUGUGAAAUAAAAAUAAGGAAACAACAGGUAAGCACACUAUACAAGUACUUUUUUCAUGACAGCAAUGCAUGCGACAAUAAAUCUCUGAAUAUGGAACACGACAAAAUUUCAAAAAGACAUGCUCGGCGAAGGGUUUGAAGAAAUGUACAUUUGAUCCAUCUGUUAACUCUAUAUGUGGUCUGUCAUCUACAGAAACACUGCAUGUUGCAGAAUGGACCCAACGACCCAAGUAGACUGUAGAAGCCCCUCGUUCCAAGAGUUGACAAAAAAACCUGAGUUCCAAGUACCAAAGAUGAAGACAUAUUCAAAAUAGCAUAACGAAAUGAAUAGUUUAAAGAUAAAUAUAGCUGCAUCAACAGAGUCCAUAUUCUGAAAGUAUAUUCAGACUGGAGAAGCUUAAUAGGUUAUCAAUCUUCAUUGUCAUCUAACACUUGACAUACAAUUACAAUCUAGAAUAAAACAGGAAGAGCUACUUGGAUUGGAUGGUUAAAGAAGAUCUUUGCGGUCACAUAUCAAUAAAAACAAGACAUAAACCAUUUUUUUGCCUUUGGCUCAUUUCUGAUGGUGUUGUUUUUCAGUCCACUGUAACUAUGAUUUGAUUAUGUGCACACACAAGCAAAGGGAAUUACCACACAAAAAAACUGACAACAAAGGGUUGGAAUAAAACAGAAAAAUAAUAUUAUUAGGGGGAGAACAGCAUGCUAUAUACUCCUCCGUUCCUAAAUAUAAGUCUUUUUAGAUAUUUCAAUAUGGACUACAUACGAAGCAAAAUGAGUGAAUCUACACUCUAAAAUGUGUCUAUAUACAUCUGUAUGUAAUUCAUAUUGAAAUCUCUAGAAAGGCUUAUAUUUAGGAACGGAGGGAGUAUAUUAGUUAUACUGUCGAAUUUCAAAGAUUUAGCCCAAGACCAUUUCUUAAAAUUCAAGACCAGGAGAUUAUUCUAUAUUUGAAUUCCUGUGAUAUGCUUAGUGGUUGUUUCAGCAUAUAAUUGUCAAUAGUUGUAAAAUUCUAUAUUUAGCUAAUUACCAUGGAUAAAAAGAAUAAAUGAUUUACAAUGUCACGGCCUAUCAAAAUAAAUAUGAUAUGCUUAGUGGUUAUUUCAGAGUAACAAAACAACAGAAAAUAUCACAUAAAUAUGAAUUCCAGAGGUAACACAUGUAGAAGAAAAGAAUGUGUGCAAUAAACACAGGAAAUACACAAACUAAAUAGUUUGAAUCGACCUAAAUAGGGGGAGAUUUUUUUUUUCGACCCAGGUCUGCAUGUGAUUUAUGGAAUAAGGUGCACAAUUGUUUUUUUUUACUAUGCAAAUGCAACUAUCGAAUAAAACGCACAGAUGUAAUUUGUGAGCAGAAGUUUUGUAUUCUCUCAAAAGGGGGUUCGUUAGUACAUCUAAAAAACAGCGAUACAGCGUGUCUACCGUAUUCGAUACAGAUUCGUUCCCAACGUCCCGAUAUGUAUCAAUGCCAGUAUGGGUGAAUAUAGGCAAUAAAAUGAAUGCAGAUACGUUCCCUGAUACUUCCUUGAUACGGUCCAGCCCAGUCAAAACUCAGUAAGGAGCAUAUGUUAACCCUAGCCUACCCCAAUCCCUGUGUACAGACUCCAACUCCCGAACCUCUUCCUCCCUUUCAUACUCAAUCUUGGCAGCUCACGGCAAACCAGCGACAAGAUGGUGGUGGGCUUCUCACCUCCUCCCCCUCUCAGGCUCCAGUAGCAUCUCAUCAAUGGCAAGAUGGCACUUUGAUCCUUGCAUCCUCCCCACCCCAGUCUCUCAGCAUCCAGCAGCAGGCCAGCGGCAGCCGGCAGGUGGUGGAGUGCUCCUCUGCUCCUCCCCCUCAGGCUCCAGUACUGCCGCCGGCAAGCUUGCGGACUGCUCCAGCAGUCCUGCUGCAGUGCUCCUCAUUCCUCCUCACUCCUCCCUGUCGUCCCUGACUCCCCCUAACGGCAGCAAGCAGCAGCGGCGGCGGCCGGCGGUGGUGGGUUCAGGGCUCCUGAAGCAGCUCGCCGGCAGCAACAGCACCAACGCAUGAUAUGAUUUCUGCUCUGGUGCUCCCCCUCCUCCUUCUCCCUCUCCAGUAGAGUAGCUCCCUCUGGUCCUGUAGCUCAGCCAAUAUUGAACCUUUUAUGUUUGCUAACCUGCUGCUGAUUUUUGGCUCUUGGUUAUCGGCUUUAGUUGGAAAUCAUGAAUACUCAACCAAUAUCAAGAUUUAACAAUGAAGCCUGACACGAAAACACCGUUGGCUAGUCUAGCAAAAGGGGGCUCAAUUUACUGGUAAUUUCGCUUUUGUAUAACCUCAUCUCAUAGCCCAAGCAGUCAUUUUUAUUCCCCCAAACUACAGAAGAAGGCGCCUCCGGUCCCAAGUCGAAGUAAUGGGACAGCGAAAAUCCAGCUCAGGGGACACGCACGCGGACCGCUCCAGAGAGAAGGCGUGCGGAGAAUCGGGGGCUGACCUAUGAGCCGUGGCGGACGGGCGGGCGGAGAGUAGUGGAGAAGACGGGGGCAGGGCGCGCUUGUAGAGCAUGACGGCGGCCGCCACCCCCGACGACAGCGCCGGAGAGGCUCGCGCUCCCCGCAGCGCAGGGCCGGCCGCCGCGCCGGAGGGCAGCCAGGCCAUGGCUACGCACGCGCACGGCUCCCUGAGCGGGGGAAUGGAUUGGUGCGGCGGCUGAACGAAGAAUUUUCCUUUUUUUUUUGGAGGAUGAGGGGAGCCUGGACGAAGAGAGAGGAGAGAAGAUGCCUGUGGGUUCUAGGUUUCCUUGGCGAUAAUUUGAUAGUGGGCCUGGCCCAACCACGUAAACAAAAACAGCGCCCAAAAGCCUUUUAUUGUGAUCCUAUUUGACGCCCGCAGGCGUCAAAAGGACGAGUCUUCGCUGAAGCUCGGCUCCGGACGCCCCAUUUUGGGCUGCCCACGGUCGCUCAGCUCCUUCUUCUUUUUUUUCUUUUCUAAUCUAUUUCUGUUUCUGUUUCUAUUUAUUUUCUAUUCCUUUUAUUAGCCCUUUUUUUAUUUAGCUGUUACUUAUAAGUUAGCGCUGCGUUUUAUCCAGCCAUAGUAGCCACCUCGACUGUGUGCUGUCGGUGCAUUGUAGCGUGAGGUCUUUAUUUCGGCUCCACGCGCCUAGAUUUAUUUUUUGUGAAAUUUUACAUCAGACGCCUUCGAAUGGGUCGGCCCAUUUGUGCGCCAUUCAGCGAAAGCUUAACUAUUGAAGGCAUGCGGGCCAAUAGGAGCUCUCAGAUGCAGCGACUAUAUCUCGCAUUCAGCGACACGAUAGAAACUUCGCUGGAGCAUCUACAGUAGUUGGGCCAGCCCAUCCGUGCACAUUAAAAGAAAAAAGAAAAUGAAGAGGGGGUGAACGCAAGCGUGUCUCCAGGGAGAUUGAAGGCGCUGCUAACCACUCCACCUGCUUUCCUUUAGGACGUGUUUGGUUGACGUCGGUUACAGUACCUGCAUUCUAUAUCCUUCUCCAGUCAGUCUGGCUCUCGAAAAACAGUCUCAUAUGCAACAUCUGCAAGUUGUUUGGUUGUCUGCAUAUGGACUGCCUGCAUUAGUGGAUCAACUUUGGCAUGUUGUUUGGUUGCCUGCAUUGUCUCGGCGCAUACAACUACACGCUGUUUGGUUGCCCGCAUGGGGUAUAAUUAAGAGCUAGCACUUGCACUUAGCAUAUAGGGUUAAAGAGCUAGUAGAGGAAGGGGGAGAAGAAAUGCAGUGUUUGCCGGACCAUGGCGACUGUGGUGGAUAGUGGCCAAGGCGCCGUGUCCAACAUGACGAGCAUGGAGUCAUGGAUGAGCGACCCCAUCGGCAGCACGGCGAGCGACACCGUCAGUGAACUAGUUGCUGUGCUCGCACAAAGACAGUCGGCAGAGGAGGAGAAUGCAGUGCCGUGCCAUGGUAUCGUCAGUGCAGUGGACGAGAGAGGAGGCCGAAAUGAUCGACACCGGAAAUGACUCCAGUGUAGUAGGGCGAGAGAGAGGAGGUCAAGAUGAUCGACCCCGUCGACGGCGCGGCAAAUUGCAGUGUGCAUGGAGGCAGAUGACACAAGAAAGCAGUGUGCGCGCCAUUGCAGCGUCAGUGCAGUAGGAGGAUGACAGAGAGUAGUCCUAGAUGAGCGACGCCGAAAAUGACUCUAAUGUAGUAGGACGUGGGCAAGGAGAUCAAGGAGAAGAGCUUCUGCGUCGAGAGGGACGAAUAGAAGGGCUCUGAGCAAAAGACAGAGGAGCUCGACAUGAUGGCGUGAGUGCAGUAGACUGCUGCUCAAAGAGAGAUGAAGCUACAAUCGUCGAAACCAAAAAUUUACAAUAUGAAUGUUGUGAGGAACUGCGAGAUUAGGCUGCUGGUCAAAGGAAUUUUCAAAUGAUCGAUUAUGUGCGACGAAUCUGACAAAAUUUGUCCAGAAUAGCUCCAAACGGGAAGACGAAAUUAAGAACUUACGGUCGACGAAACUACUAACCGAUCGCCUGAAUGGAACCAUAGCAUCGAGGUGCAUCCUUUUUAUGUAGAGCUUAUCUCGAACCGAAGCACCAUUUUAUAGAUCGAAGGGAGGAUAUUAGAUAGGGGCUUAAUGGAUAUUGAAGAAGACCUCAAAUAAUCACCUUGCAUCCCUCUUUCUCACAAGGGCCCACUUGCUUGCGCUCAGCUCGGUCUGGCUCGUGAGAAACUGCUGAUUUAAGCGUUUCCAGCGAGCUGGGCCCAAAGGUGCUUUAUGUUCCGUGCUAUGCAGGCCCAACAGUGUAUACAGAAAACCAAACAGACUGGAUUCUUCCCGCGCGCGCCUGGUCAAGUGUAUGCAGGCAAUCAAACACAUCCUUAAUGAUUGGUAGUAUGGUGUGCGACCUACUAAAAGCAAUUCUAACUGGUUUUCUCAGUUCUUUUGGUUUUGUUUUGUUUCUUUUUUCUACUCUGUUUUUUCCUUUUUAUCAAUUUUUUUACAUUUGUCUCUUCUUUUUUAUUACAUUUUUGGUUUUUGGUUUCUUUUUUUAAUUUUAUUCUAUAUUUUUUAAUAUGUCAACAACAUUUUUCUAUUACGUGAUUAUCCAAUACAAAUUUAUAUAUUUCCUAAUACAUGGUAAACAUUUGUAACAUUUUCUAAUUUUAUAAAUGCUUGAUUACAUUUUUUAAAUACAAGAUUAAUUUUUAAUUACAUGAUCAACAUUUUUUCUAUAAACACUUUAAACUUUUUUAAAUGCUUGAUUUACAUUUUUCAAAUACAAGAUUAACAUUUUCUAAUACAUGUUCAACAUUAUUGAUGAUUGAUUAAAACAUUUCAAAUACUUGUUUAAUAUUUUUCAAAUGCUUGAUUAACAAUUUUAUAUACAUGUUCUAAUUUGUUUAUCAUUUUUCAAUAUAUGGUCAAAAAAAUAUACAUAUUGAAAAAAAUUAACUGCUUGAUUAAAAAAAUUCAAAAACUUUUUCAAAAAAAUUCAAAAGCUUAAUUAAAAAAUUUACAUACAUGAUCAGAAAAAAUUCAUAAUUUUUAUAAUACAUGGUAAACAUUUUUUACAUACACAUUUAACACUUUUCAAACACUUGUUCAACAUUUUCUUUUCAAAUGCAUGGUUAACAUUUUUUAAAUACAUGAUCAUAUUGUUUCAAACAUAUUUUUUGUAUACAAUUUUUGAAUAUGUGAUAAACAUGUUCUCUAUACAAAUUUAUCAUUUUUCAAAUGUUUUUAUGUGGGGUGAUUAUUUUAAUAUAUUUAUUUAUAAUAUUUUGGAAGUAUAAACAAAACAAGAAAAAUGAGCCUAAUGUUCCCAUCGCCUGGGCCGGCCCAACUCGCACCACCAGUUAGCGAGGGUCCCACCCUCUCGCUGGACGCGAGUAUAGGGGCGCCCUUGCAAAGGUCGCUCCUAACUUCUCAGGUUGUGAAAGUGACGCACUUGUCACAAUCUAGAAGUUUUCGCUUUUUUUCUAGAUUUGUUUAUUUAAAAUAUUUUAUUUCUUAAACUGUGUGUCCAAAUCAUGAACUGUUUUCAUUAUUGGAUUUCUCAUGUCGAAAUCUUCGAAACUAGAUCUCAUGCUAGAAAGUUUCGAUGGAUUUUUUUUCAUGAGAAACACCGGAAAACAACCCGAACCAGAAAAGUUUGGACGAAUUUUUGCAUGGAGGGCCGCCAUGAGUAUGCUCACACACAGGCAAAAGUCGGUGUCAUUUCAUACAUGGCAAGAAGUGCACCAUGUUCAAAGGAGGUGGUUCGGGCAUGCCGAUAUGGUAAGUCUGGAUGCAUUUUUUCCACAACAAUAAAAUGGACUCAAUUUUUUUCCACCCACUAGCAUCACCAUGUCAAGCAUCCAUGAUAAAUUUCAUUGAGCUCUGACAUUUUACGCAUUUUUAGGGUUUUCCCGGUAAAAAAACAUAAAACACUAGCCGAACGUGACACAACGUGCGUUCGGUAUCUGAAUUCCUUCAAAUUUUCCAUGGAGGCCUGCCAUGAGCAUGCCCACAUGCUGGCAAGUGUUGGUGUCAUUUCAUGCAUGGCAAGAAGCACACGAUGUUCAAUGGUGGUGGUCUGGGUAGGCAGGCAGGGCAAGUCUGGAUGCAUUUUUUUACAUCAAUAAAAUGGACCCAAAUUUUUCCACACACUAGCAUCACCAUACCAAGAAUCCAUGAUAAAUUUCAUUGAGUUCUGACAUUUUAUGCAUUUUCUAAGGUUUUCCCUGUGAAAAAAACCCUAAAACACUAGCGGAACUUGAUGCAACGUGUGUUCGGUGUUCGUAUUCCUUCAAUUUCCGCGUCGAGGCCUACCAUUACUAUGACCACAUGCUCACAUGUGGUGGUUCUAGUAGGCCGAGACGAUAAGUCUAGAUGCACUUUUUUUCCACAACAAUAAAAGGGACCUAAUUUUUUUCCACACACUAGCAUCACCAUGCCAAGUGAAAGAACAUGCGGUGCCCCAUGUUUGGUUUUAGUAAUUGAUGACAAUCUCUAUGGACUAAUGGCUGCCUUGAGUUAUUUGAAGGUUUUGUCCACAGGCUUUUCUUGGAGUACAUGUGUUAAUUUCAAGGAGAGUUUGUGUCGACCAAGGUGCUAUUCAAGGAAUUACCUAAAGAUUGGUCUUGUGAGAGGUUGAUCAAGACCAUGUCAAAGAGUGAAUCAAGUUGAUCAACCCACAAAGCGUAGAAGAUGUACCGAGAGAGAUCAAGUGAUCCCAUGGUAUGGUAAGCAUUGUCAAUUACGCUUUGUGUACUAACCCAUGUUCUUCAUGAGAGUUUUUUGUGGGGUUAGGUUGCGGUGUGCAAGUUCAAGUGGAGCAUCAUGAAGAGAUCAAAUGCUUGAAGCUUGCCAUCCAUUGUGGUAACAAUGGAUUCAUGAAGAUGUGCGGAAGAGUGGCUCACCCAUAAUGGAGUAUGGGGAGCAAUCAACUAGUCUUCAUCGAGCCAACGCAAUCAAGAAAGGUGGUCCAACUUGAGGAAGUCAAGAUCGUCAUCAUCUAGCUCAAGUGGACUAUGUGCAAGACAAAGGUUUGCCCUUGAUAGGUUUUCUAUUUUACCGGUCUCAUAGUGGUAGUUGGGAGACCAGGUUAUAGGAUUGAUUGCCGUACUAUCAAGGGGGGCUCUCGAUGAGUAGCUUGAUCGUAUCGUUCGUAGAGAGCUCAAACCAUUGCAUCCUUGCACCAUCUUUCUUGGUUCUUCUUUGGUUCUAUUUGUGAGUUUUGGAGCUUUUGGUCAUCUUGAUGACAAGCUCGAGUUCAUCGAAAACGGAGUUCACAUGCAUCUUCUAUGAUGUUUUCGAUGUUGGAGGUUUUGCUGGUUCUUCUCGGUUGGAGGUUUCACUCCUCUGUUUUGAUGCUACUCGUCGUCUUGUAUCCAACAAGAUUGAGUUUGCUCAAUUCAAAGCUCUUAUGAAGAAGUUAUGGUAGUUCUGGUUUUCUCCCUGCAGUAGUACCGCGGUCGGUAGCGGUAGUACCGCUUGCAGCGUCAAGAGGUAGUAUUGCUCUAGUACUGCUCUACUACCGCCUCAAUUUUGGAUCCUGCACUUUUCAUGUCGGGUUUAGCAGUAGUUGCACGGCAGUAAGGCACGGUAGUUCCGCCUACCGCCUAUAAGCAGUAGUACCGCUCCGGUCGGGCGGUAGUACCGCUACUGCAUUACUGCCAUCGUACUCUGCUCUGCCCUACCUCUUUUGGUCCUGUGUUCUGCUCCUGCUCCUCCAGCGGUAGUACCGCUGGGGUGAGCGGUAGUACCGAGCGGUACUACCGCCCCAAGGUUCAUUUUUUGUUGCUCCUUUUCCCUGCUUCUUCCGCCCGAGCGGUAGUACCGCUCGUGUGCGGACUGAGCACUUAACGGUUGGAUUUUCCCCCUUCUAGAAAAGGGGGUCUUCUUCCCCAAUGAACCUCAUCUCUUGAGCUCGUGUUCUUCCCCCAUUGUUGACCUUCUUCGAGCUUGCUAACUCUCAGUCCCUCCAUGGAUUCUUGCUACUUUUUGAGGGAAAGGAGAGAGGAGAUCUAGAUCCACAUUUCCACCAAUCACUUUCUCCUCUAUGUGAGGGGAACCCCUUGGAUCUAGAUCUUGGAGUUCUUGGUGUUCUCCUUCUUGUUCUUCCUCUCUUUUUCCUCCGUAGAAUUAGUUGCUUUGGCAGGAUUUGGGAGAGGAGGACUUGGGCACUCUGUGUGUCCUUGCCAUUGCAUUUGGUGCAUUGGUUUGAGUUCUCCACGGUGAUACGUGGAAGUUACAAGUUGAGAAGCUUAUUACUCUCGGGUGCUUGGUACCCUUGAGCUUGUUCCUCUUGGGUGUUUGGGCGCCCUAGACGGUUGGUGGUGUUCGAAGCUCAAUCAUUGUGCUGCAAAGCUUCGGGCAAGCGUCGGGGUCUCCAAUUAGGUUGUGGAGAUCGCCCCGAGCAAUUUGACGGGUACCGGUGACUGAUACGUCUCCGUCGUAUCUACUUUUCCAAACACUUUUGCCCUUGUUUUGGACUCUAACUUGCAUGAUUUGAAUGGAACUAACCCGGACUGACGCUGUUUUCAGCAGAAUUGCCAUGGUGUUAUUUAUGUGCAGAAACAAAAGUUCUCGGAAUGACCUGAAACUUAACGGAACAUAUUUUUGGAAAUAAUAAAAAAAUCCUUGCAAAAGAUGAAGACCAGGGGGCCCACACCCUAGCCACGAGGGUGGGGGGCGCGCGUGCCCCCUGGGCAUGCCCCCUACCUCGUGGGCCCCCUGGAGCUCCUCCGACCUAAACUCCAACUCUAUACACUACUGAAAACAGGGAAUUUGCCAUUAGUCAUCUCUUUGCCGUCUGCCAGCGGAUGGCAAAGAACGUCUUUGCCAUCCGCUUACAAAAAACAGAUGGCAAAGAACUGACAGAUGGCAAAGAACCUGGUUGCCAUCAGCCAGUUCUUUGCCAUCUGCCAGCGGAUGGUAAAGAAUCUUUGCCGUCAGCUGGCAGAUGCCCCACCUCUUUGCCAUCUGCCAGCUGACGGCAAAGAUUCUUUGCCAUCAGCUCGCUGAUGGCAAAGAGGUGGGGCUUUGCCAUCCGCUGGCUGAUGGCAAAGAAGUGGGCUUUUGCCAUCCGCUGGCUGAUGGCAAAGAGGUGGGACUAUCUCCUCUCCCAACUCUCAAAAAAAUCCUCCCCUCUCUCCCAGCCCGGCCCCACCCCUCUCUCUCCCANNNNNNNNNNNNNNNNNNNNNNNNNNNNNNNNNNNNNNNNNNNNNNNNNNNNNNNNNNNNNNNNNNNNNNNNNNNNNNNNNNNNNNNNNNNNNNNNNNNNNNNNNNNNNNNNNNNNNNNNNNNNNNNNNNNNNNNNNNNNNNNNNNNNNNNNNNNNNNNNNNNNNNNNNNNNNNNNNNNNNNNNNNNNNNNNNNNNNNNNNNNNNNNNNNNNNNNNNNNNNNNNNNNNNNNNNNNNNNNNNNNNNNNNNNNNNNNNNNNNNNNNNNNNNNNNNNNNNNNNNNNNNNNNNNNNNNNNNNNNNNNNNNNNNNNNNNNNNNNNNNNNNNNNNNNNNNNNNNNNNNNNNNNNNNNNNNNNNNNNNNNNNNNNNNNNNNNNNNNNNNNNNNNNNNNNNNNNNNNNNNNNNNNNNNNNNNNNNNNNNNNNNUUCCAGGCCGCAGCGCCGCCCUCUCCCCGCGGCCCUCCCGGCCACCGCGGCGUGCCCCGCGGCCCUCCCCGCCAUCGGAGUCCGCCCCUGCGCCCGCCCCUCCACCGAGCCAGGCCAAGGCGCCGCCCCUUCGCGCCACCGCGCCAUCCUCCUGUGAGCAACCGUCUCCCCUCUCUCAAGUCUAACUGAAUCCCGAGAAGGAUCUCUUCCCCUCUUUCUUAAAUGUUAUCUCCCUUGCACCCUUAAUGUGUUUUUCUUGUUUUAAUUUAGCUGGCCAAGAUUAGUGUUGCUCUAUUUUACGUUCUUUUGAGUAGAUCGACUAUUGUAUCGUUCUCAACUAAAUCCAUUUCUAAAGCAUCUAGAGAUGGAUAUAUUAUGGGUGGAGGUAGCCGGUGACGUGAUCAAUAUGUAGUCAUUGAGCAGCUAGCUCACUGAUCUAAUUAGCUACAAAGUGGAUUCCCUACUUGCAUUAGCUCCCCGACCACCGUAUCAUAAAUAUAUAAACCUACAUUACAUAUUUACUAGAACUGUUUGUUGCAUCAGUGAAAUCAAUGAGGGCCUAUCUAAACAGUGUGAUACCGAGCAUGAAAUCAAUGGUUAAAAAUCAAGUUACAUGGAUGUCACCCAAGCCGGGACAUAGGCCCCGUUUGUUUGGGCUUUUGCUUCUACUUUUGCAACUUUUCGCUUUGGUAAAAAAGUAAAAAAAAAAGCUUCUAAAUGGGUGCCUUUUGCUUCGGCUUUUGGCUUAUACCAUCAUAUAACAAUAUUGAUUUAUAAGCCACAAUCUGAAGCAAAAAAGCCCAUAUUUAGGAGCUUUUGUGUCUUUUUUACCAAAAUAGAAAAGCUGCAAAAGCAGAAGUAAAAGCCCAAAUAAACAGGGCCAUAACCUCCUUUGCAAGUCAUUCCAAUAUCUUGGGGCCAUGCUCCAUCGGUUCCCUAUACGGCAUCAAAGAUGGUGUGGCUCUCCUGAAUGACGUGUGCGAUCCAAUGCAGUAACUUGGCCUCUUGUAUUAAAUCGGUCCAUAAAUCUGUCUAUACUAGUAUAUGUUAUUUUCUACGCAUGGAAAUGACCACGUGAUAUGCAUGGAAUGUGUAGUGAAAGCGUUCUUGUAGAAACUGCUAAAGAUUUGCUUAAACCCCCAACUACAAGAACUUGUUUUCAUGUACAAGUUUACCUGUUGGAGUAAUGACUACAGUCUAAGAAGGCUAUCUUUUUCAGAACCCAACCAAAUCAGAUAUAUUCGCAAAAAAAAUAGAUAUGCAUGACACUAGUGCAAGUGGGAUUUUUUUGUGCCUUGUGAUCCGAAGUUUGAAUUGUCUUACGUAUUUGCUUGAUUACAAGUUUUGAAUAAAGUAGUGAGUGAAGCCAGCGCACCCUAUACGCACAAAAUAAUUUACUAAUUUCAAAACAAAUAAAAAAACUCUGAAACUUUUUUGGAAGGGAAAUGCACCUACACAAGCUAAAUUGUAAAUCCGAAAUAUUAAUUAGCUGCCAACAAAAGACUUAUAUUUUUCAAAAUUCAAACAUAUGUAUGUUAUUCUGAAAUCCCAUUACCUUGUGGUUUCUCAAAGAUUUAAAAUUUGCAAACCUCAUAAAUAUAAAUCUUGGUCAGCUCUUUGGAAGCAACCCCCUUGCAUACAUUAUUUUUCUGUGUGGAACUCCACAGAGAAUCUAGAAUUAAAGGCAGGAUUUGAUCACCACGCUUAUAUCCUUGGCUUAUAAAAAGAGAUGUACCUAUGUAUGGAAGUUAAGCAGGAAAUAGAAAAGCAACCACCUUGCCUUUAUCACGUAUCAUGCUCUCAUCUCUCCCAAAGCUUAAGCCCCAACCAAAACCAUUACCUGGGUAUAGCACAGAAUGUGUAUCUCUAUAUUUCUGUUGGUAAGAAUAUAAGUAUCAUACUUGGUUCCAUUCGUAGGCUGAGAGCACGACUUCUUCCGCCAUGAUACCGAAAUCAAGACCGUUGCUCAACGGAUUAGGUCCCAAUCAACACCAUAGUUGUAAUGCAGUUUGGAAUCUGUUUCUACUUGCAUUACCGCCAUACUUGUAUUCUGUUUCUACUAUAUUUCAUUCUUGAUCAUGAAAGAUGAUUCAACGUGCAUGUCCCUCUCCUCCUUAUAAAUUAUACAUGCAACAUCUUUUUUUAGCCUCUUUUUCAUUCCUUAUAUUUCCUCACUCUCUUAUUUCGCAUAUAUAGAAGGUUAAUUUAGCCUUAUCUUUUUGGCUCAUAUUUCCUUGAUUCCUUGAAAUCCUCUUUAAGAGAGUGCUUCCUUAUGUUUCCUCGCUCUCUUAUGUCGCAUAUAUAGAAAGCUAAUUCAUCCACUCCGGGUACAGUUUCAUAUGAGAUAUAUCAGAGGGGAAAGGAGAGAUACACACGCAUGCUUUACACAAUAGCGGGUGUGCAUGCCGUCUAAUUUAUUUCAUGUCCACUUUGCUUUUCCGUUUUAGAUAAUAAAUUGGUGGCAGAAAGCAUUUUGACCUGUUUGGCACUGCUAUGAGCUACUCCGCAGAUUCCAAAUUACUCAUUUCAUACUUGUUUGUUCAAACUUUACGUGCCUAGUUACGCAUUCAUCAUGAAUUCAGAUAAAAUCUAAAUGUAAGUUAUCCCAUGAAUUUAUCUGAGAAAGAAAUUUUAAGAGGCUGGCCUAUAAUUUUAAGAGGAUUUUUAACCUAGCUUUUUCUGUUUAGUGCUGGUUUGGCUUACUUAGCUUUUAUAUUUGAACAAUCAGGUUCACAAAUAGAUACCAACCUAGACACGAGCUGGAUAAACCCUAUCUGAUUUUGUUUUCUCCACUUGAGAUUUGCAGGGGAGGUUGCAUUGCCCGGAGGAAAGGGAGAGGAGGGUGAUGCUGAUGAUGCAGCAACAACAUUAAGGGAGGUAAAGGAGGAGAUUGGGCUUGAUCCAGCCUUGGUCACUCUCGUUUCCUCGCUUGAGCACUUCUUGCCCAAGGUAAGAUGUCUAUGAGUUCUCGCCUAUACCCCUACUGAAAAAAAUCACAUUGUACAGUGAACAGACUAUUUAAGUGCACACUGAAAGGCAUGUAUAUUUGUGUUGAUCGGGUGGAUUUAAAUGUGCAGUUGUUUCGUUGCUGCGAGGGUCUGGUGUUCGACGACCUCCCCGUGCGUUCAACGAGCUCUGCCCCGACGUUCGUGGGUGAGCACAAAUGACAUCUCCUCCUCCCCCAAUCAUUUUCUAUGUUCCGGUCUUCGUGCCGAUGAAACAUGCUAGCUAUAGGUAGAUUGAAUCAUCAGUAUGCGUGACCACUAUGCGUCUCCUGUUCGAAAGGGUUACAUCUAUAAAUAUACAUGCAUUUGCAUAUUUAUAACCGUGAUUCUUUCGAAUUGUCCAACGUUAUCCAUGGACAGCCCGAGUAUGUGUAGAUUGGGUUCGUUUUCCCAUAUGCUCUGCUCUGGAUCCGAUGCAGAAUUUCAUCAGUGCCUCCCUGUUGUUCUCCGGGUACACAUCCUCUCUGCUUAUUGCCGAGACGUGUAUCAGGAGAACAACGGGGAGGUGCUGCCGAAAUUUUGUGUCGGAUCCGGAGCAGAGCAUGGGAAAACGAACCCAAUCUACACAUACUCGGGUGGGAUUAGGACCUAUCUGUACCUAUUAGCGUCUAGGUUGCAUGGACGUAAUAAAACUGAGAAACUCUAUUAACUGAUGAAUAUAUGGUUUUGAAGGAAAUAUGCCCUAGAGGCAAUAAUAAAGUUAUUAUUUAUUUCCUUGUAUCAUGAUAAAUGUUUAUUAUUCAUGCUAGAAUUGUAUUAACCGGAAACAUAAUACAUGUGUGAAUACAUAGACAAACAGAGUGUCACUAGUAUGCCUCUACUUGACUAGCUCGUUAAUCAAAGAUGGUUAAGUUUCCUAACCAUGAACAAUGUGUUGUAAUUUGAUUAACGAGGUCACAUCAUUAGUUGAAUGAUCUGAUUGACAUGACCCAUUUCAUUAGCUUAGCACAAGAUCGUUUAGUAUGUUGCUAUUGCUUUCUUCAUGACUUAUACAUGUUCCUAUGACUAUGAGAUUAUGCAACUCCCGUUUGCCGGAGGAACACUUUGGGUGCUACCAAACGUCACAAUGUAACUGGGUGAUUAUAAAGGAGUACUACAGGUGUCUCCAAUGGAAGAUGUUGGGUUGGCGUAUUUCGAGAUUAGGAUUUGUCACUCCGAUAGUCGGAGAGGUAUCUCUGGGCCCUCUCGGUAAUGCACAUCACAUAAGCCUUGCAAGCAUUACAACUAAUGAGUUAGUUGCGAGAUUAUGUAUUACAGAACGAGUAAAGAGACUUGUCGGUAACGAGAUUGAACUAGGUAUUGGAUACCGACGAUCGAAUCUCGGGCAAGUAACAUACCGAUGACAAAGGGAACAACGUAUGUUGUUAUGCGGUCUGACCGAUAAAGAUCUUCGUAGAAUAUGUAGGAGCCAAUAUGGGCAUCCAGGUCCCGCUAUUGGUUAUUGACCGGAGACGUGUCUCGGUCAUGUCUACAUUGUUCUCGAACCGUAGGGUCCGCACGCUUAACGUUACGAUGACCGUUAUUAUGAGUUUAUACAUUUUGAUGUACCGAAGUUAGUUCGGAGUCCCGGAUGUGAUCACGGACAUGACGAGGAGUCUCGAAAUGAUCGAGACAUAAAAAUUGAUAUAUUGGAUGACUAUAUUCGGACACCGGAAGCGUUCUGAUGAAGUUUCGGAUAAAACCGGAGCACCGGGGUGAUGUAUUACAGAACGAGUAAAGAGACUUGCCAGUAACGAGAUUGAACUAGGUAUUGGAUACCGACGAUCGAAUCUCGGGCAAGUAACAUACCGAUGACAAAGGGAACAACGUAUGUUGUUAUGCGGUCUGACCGAUAAAGAUCUUCGUAGAAUAUGUAGGAGCCAAUAUGGGCAUCCAGGUCCCGCUGUUGGUUAUUGACCGGAGACGUGUCUCGGUCAUGUCUACAUUGUUCUCGAACCGUAGGGUCCGCACGCUUAACGUUACGAUGAUAGUUAUUAUGAGUUUAUACAUUUUGAUGUACCGAAGGUAGUUCGGAGUCCCGGAUGUGAUCACGGACAUGACGAGGAGUCUCGAAAUGGUCGAGACAUAAAGAUUGAUAUAUUGGAAGCCUAUAUUUGGAUAUCGGAAGUGUUCCGGGUAAAAUCGGGAUUUUACCGGAUUACCGGGAGGUUACCGGAACCCCCUGGGAGCCAUAUGGGCCUUAUUGGGCUUUAGUGGAAAGGUGAAAGGGGCUGCCCAUAGUGGGCUGCGCGCCUCCCCCCUCCCCUAGUCCUAUUAGGACUAGGAGAGGUGGCCGGCCACCUCUCUCUCUCUCUCUUUCCCCCUUGGGAGUCCUAUUAGGAAUAGGAUUGGGGGGGGGGGGAGUCCUACUCCCGGUAGGAGUAGGACUCCUCCUGCGCCUCCAUAGGCUUGGCCGGCCAGCCCUCCCCCUGGCAUCCUUUAUAUAUGGGGGCAGGGGGCACCUCUAGACACACAAGUUGAUCCUUGGUGAUCGUUCCUUAGCCGUGUGCGGUGCCCCCUGCCACCAAAUUCCACCUUGAUCAUAUUGUUGCAGUGCUUAGGCGAAGCCCUGCGUCAGUAGUACAUCAAGAUCGUCACCACGCCGUCGUGCUGACGGAACUCUUCCUCGACGCUUUGCUGGAUCGGAGCCCGAGGAUCGUCAUCGAGCUAUACGUGUGCUAAGAACUCGGAGGUGCCGGAGUAACGGUGCUUGGAUCGGUCGGAUCAGAAAGAAGACGUACGACUACUUCCUCUACGUUGUGUGAUCGCUUCCGCAGUCGGUCUGCGUUGGUACGUAGACAACACUCUCCCCCCUCGUUGCUAUGCAUCACCAUGAUCUUGCGUGUGCGUAGGAAAUUUUUUGAAAUUACUACAUUCCUCAAUAGUGGUAUCAGAGCCUAGGUUUUAUGGUUUGAUGUUAUUUGCACGAGUAGAACACAAGUGAGUUGUGGGUGAUACAAGUCAUACUGCCUACCAGCAUGUCAUACUUUGUUUCGGCGGUAUUGUUGGACGAGACGACCCGGACCAACCUUACGCGUACGCUUACGUGAGACUGGUUCCCUCGACGUGCUUUGCACAUAGAUGGCAUGCGGGCGACUGUCUCUCCAACUUUAGUUGAACCAAGUGUGGCUACGCCCGGUCCUUGAGAAGGUUAAAACGGAGUCUAUUUGACAAACUAUCGUUGUGGUUUUUGAUGCGUAGGUGAGAUGAGUUCUUGCUUAAGCCCGUAGCAGCCACGCAAAACUUGCAACAACAAAGUAGAGGACGUCUAACUUGUUUUUGCAGGGCAUGUUGUGAUGUGAUAUGGUCAAGGCAUGAUGCUAAAUUUUAUUGUAUGAGAUGAUCAUGUUUUGUAACCAAGUUAUCGGCAACUGGCAGGAGCCAUAUGGUUGUCGCUUUAUUGUAUGCAAUGCAAUCAUGAUGUAAUGCUUUACUUUAUUACUAAGCGGUAGUGAUAGUCGUGGAAGCAUAAGAUUGGUGAGACAACAACGAUGCUACGAUGAAGAUCAAGGUGUCGCGCCGGUGACGAUGGUGAUCAUGACGGUGCUUCGGAGAUGGAGAUCACAAGCACAAGAUGAUGAUGGCCAUAUCAUAUCACUUAUAAUGAUUGCAUGUGAUGUUUAUCCUUUUAUGCGUCUUAUCUUGCUUUGAUUGACGGUAGCAUUAUAAGAUGAUCUCUCACUAAAUUAUCAAGAAGUGUUCUCCCUGAGUAUGCACCGUUGCGAAAGUUCUUCGUGCUGAGACACCACAUGAUGAUCGGGUGUGAUAGGCUCUACGUUCAAAUACAACGGGUGCAAAACAGUUGCACACGCGGAAUACUUAGGUUAUACUUGACGAGCCAAGCAUAUACAGAUAUGGCCUUGGAACACGGAGACCGAAAGGUCGAGCGUGAAUCAUAUAGUAGAUAUGAUCAACAUAAUGAUGUUCACCAAUGAAACUACUCCAUCUCACGUGAUGAUCGGACAUGGUUUAGUUGAUUUGGAUCACGUAAUCACUUAGAGGAUUAGAGGGAUGUCUAUCUAAGUGGGAGUUCUUAAGUAAUAUGAUUAAUUGAACUUAAAUUUAUCAUGAACUUAGUACCUGAUAGUAUCUUGCUUGUUUAUGUUGAUUGUAGAUAGAUGGCUCGUGUUGUUGUUCCGUUGAAUUUUAAUGCGUUCCUUGAGAAAGCAAAAUUGAAAGAUGAUGGUAGCAAUUACACAGACUGGGUCCGUAACUUGAGGAUUAUCCUCAUUGCUGCACAGAAGAAUUACGUCCUGGAAGCACCGCUAGGUGCCAGGCCUGCUGCUGGAGCAACACCAGAUGUUAUGAACGUCUGGCAGAGCAAAGCUGAUGACUACUCGAUAGUUCAGUGUGCCAUGCUUUACGGCUUAGAAUCUGGACUUCAACGACAUUUUGAACGUCAUGGAGCAUAUGAGAUGUUUCAGGAGUUGAAGUUAAUAUUUCAAGCAAAUUCCCGGAUUGAGAGAUAUGAAGUCUCCAAUAAGUUCUAUAGCUGCAAGAUGGAAGAGAAUAGUUCUGUCAGUGAGCAUAUACUCAAAAUGUCUGGGUAUAAUAAUCACUUGAUUCAAUUGGGAGUUAAUCUUCCAGAUGAUUGCAUCAUUGACAGAAUUCUCCAAUCACUGCCACCAAGCUACAAGAGCUUCGUGAUGAACUAUAAUAUGCAAGGGAUGAACAAGACUAUUCCCGAGCUCUUCGCAAUGCUGAAAGCUGCGGAGGUAGAAAUCAAAAAGGAGCAUCAAGUGUUGAUGGUUAACAAAACCACUAGUUUCAAGAAAAAGGGCAAAGGGAAGAAGAAGGGGAACUUCAAGAAGGACGACAAGCAAGUUGCUGCUCAGGAGAAGAAACCCAAGUCUGGACCUAAGCCUGAAAAUGAGUGCUUCUACUACAAGCAGACUGGUCACUGGAAGCGGAACUGCCCCAAGUAUUUGGCGGAUAAGAAGGAUGGCAAGGUGAACAAAGGUAUAUGUGAUAUACAUGUUAUUGAUGUGUACCUUACUAAUGCUCGCAGUAGCACCUGGGUAUUUGAUACUGGUUCUGUUGCUAAUAUUUGCAACUCGAAACAGGGACUACGGAUUAAGCGAAGAUUAGCUAAGGACGAGGUGACGAUGCGCGUGGGAAACGGUUCCAAAGUCGAUGUGAUCGCGGUCGGCACGCUACCUCUACAUCUACCUUCGGGAUUAAUACUAGACCUAAAUAAUUGUUAUUUGGUGCCAGUGUUGAGCAUGAACAUUAUAUCUGGAUCUUGUUUAAUGCGAGACGGUUAUUCAUUUAAAUCAGAGAAUAAUGGUUGUUCUAUUUAUAUGAGUAAUAUCUUUUAUGGUCAUGCACCCUUGAAGAGUGGUCUAUUCUUGUUAAAUCUCGAUAGUAGUGAUACACAUAUUCAUAAUGUAGAAGCCAAAAGAUGCAGAGUUGAUAAUGAUGGUGCAACUUAUUUGUGGCACUGCCGUUUAGGUCAUAUCGGUGUAAAGCGCAUGAAGAAACUCCAUACUGAUGGACUUUUGGAACCACUUGAUUAUGAAUCACUUGGUACUUGCGAACCGUGCCUCAUGGGCAAGAUGACUAAAACACCGUUCUCCGGUACUAUGGAGAGAGCAACAGAUUUGUUGGAAAUCAUACAUACAGAUGUAUGCGGUCCGAUGAAUAUUGAGGCUCGUGGCGGAUAUCGUUAUUUUCUCACCUUCACAGAUGAUUUAAGCAGAUAUGGGUAUAUCUACUUAAUGAAACAUAAGUCUGAAACAUUUGAAAAGUUCAAAGAAUUUCAGAGUGAAGUGGAAAAUCAUCGUAACAAGAAAAUAAAGUUUCUACGAUCUUAUCGUGGAGGAGAAUAUUUGAGUUACGAGUUUGGUGUACAUUUGAAAAAUUGUGGAAUAGUUUCGCAACUCACGCCACCCGGAACACCACAGCAUAAUGGUGUGUCCGAACGUCGUAAUCGUACUUUACUAGAUAUGGUGCGAUCUAUGAUGUCUCUUACUGAUUUACCGCUAUCAUUUUGGGGAUACGCUCUAGAGACGGCCACAUUCACGUUAAAUAGGGCACCAUCAAAAUCCGUUGAGACGACGCCUUAUGAACUAUGGUUUGGCAAGAAACCAAAGUUGUCGUUUCUGAAAGUUUGGGGUUGCGAUGCUUAUGUGAAAAAGCUUCAACCUGAUAAGCUCGAACCCAAAUCGGAGAAAUGUGUCUUCAUAGGAUAUCCAAAGGAAACUAUUGGAUACACCUUCUAUCACAGAUCCGAAGGCAAGACUUUUGUUGCUAAAUUCGGAAACUUUCUUGAGAAGGAGUUUCUCUCGAAAGAAGUGAGUGGGAGGAAAGUAGAACUUGACGAGGUAACUGUACCCGCUCCCUUAUUAGAAAGUAGCACAUCACAGAAAACUGUUUCUGCGACACCUACACCAAUAAGUGAGGAAGUUAAUGAUAAUGAUCAUGAAACUUCAGAACAAGAUACUACUGAACCUCGUAGAUCAACCAGAGCAAGAUCCGCGCCAGAGUGGUACGGUAACCCAGUUCUGGAAGUCAUGCUACUAGAUCAUGAUGAACCUACGAACUAUGAAGAAGCGAUGGUGAGCCCAGAUUCCGCAAAGUGGCUUGAAGCCAUGAAAUCUAAGAUGGGAUCCAUGUAUGAGAACAAAGUGUGGACUUUGGUUGACUUGCCCGAUGAUCGGAAAGCAAUUGAGAAUAAAUGGAUCUUCAAGAAAAAGACUGACGCUGACGGUAAUGUUACUGUCUAUAAAGCUCGACUUGUUGCAAAAGGUUUUCGACAAGUUCAAGGGGUUGACUACGAUGAGACCUUCUCACCCGUAGCGAUGCUUAAGUCGCUCCGAAUCAUGUUAGCAAUUGCCGUGUUUUAUGAUUAUGAAAUAUGGCAGAUGGAUGUCAAAACUGCAUUCCUGAAUGGAUUUCUAGAAGAAGAGUUGUAUAUGAUGCAACCGGAAGGUUUUGUCGAUCCAAAGGGAGCUAACAAAGUGUGCAAACUCCAGCGAUCCAUUUAUGGACUGGUGCAAGCAUCUCGGAGUUGGAAUAAACGCUUUGAUAGUGUGAUCAAAGCAUUUGGCUUUAUACAGACUUUUGGAGAAGCCUGUAUUUACAAGAAAGUGAGUGGGAGCUCUGUAGCAUUUCUGAUAUUAUAUGUGGAUGACAUAUUGCUGAUUGGAAAUGAUAUAGAAUUUCUAGAUAGCAUAAAGGGAUACUUGAAUAAGAGUUUUUCAAUGAAAGACCUCGGUGAAGUUGCUUACAUAUUGGGCAUUAAGAUCUAUAGAGAUAGAUCAAGACGCUUAAUUGGACUUUCACAAAGCACAUACCUUGACAAGAUUUUGAAGAAAUUCAAAAUGGAUCAAGCAAAGAAAGGGUUCUUGCCUGUGUUACAAGGUGUGAAGUUGAGUCAGACUCAAUGCCCGACCACUGCAGAAGAUAGAGAGAAAAUGAAAGAUGUUCCCUAUGCUUCAGCCAUAGGCUCUAUCAUGUAUGCAAUGUUGUGUACCAGACCUGAUGUGUGCCUUGCUAUAAGUUUAGCAGGGAGGUACCAAAGUAAUCCAGGAGUGGAUCACUGGACAACAGUCAAGAACAUCCUGAAAUACCUGAAAAGGACUAAGGAUAUGUUUCUCGUAUAUGGAGGUGACAAAGAGCUCACCGUAAGAGGUUACGUUGAUGCAAGCUUUGACACUGAUCCGGACGAUUCUAAAUCGCAAACCGGAUACGUGUUUACUUUAAAUGGUGGAGCUGUCAGUUGGUGCAGUUCUAAACAAAGCGUCGUAGCGGGAUCUACAUGUGAAGCGGAGUACAUAGCUGCUUCGGAAGCAGCAAACGAAGGAGUCUGGAUGAAGGAGUUCAUAUCCGAUCUAGGUGUCAUACCUAGUGCAUCGGGUCCAAUGAAAAUCUUUUGUGACAAUACUGGUGCAAUUGCUUUGGCAAAGGAAUUCAGAUUUCACAAAAGGACCAAACACAUCAAGAGACGCUUCAAUUCCAUCCGGGAUCUAGUCCAGGUGGGAGACAUAGAGAUUUGCAAGAUACAUACGGAUCUGAAUGUUGCAGACCCGUUGACUAAGCCUCUUCCACGAGCAAAACAUGAUCAGCACCAAGGCUCCAUGGGUGUUAGAAUCAUUACUAUGUAAUCUAGAUUAUUGACUCUAGUGCAAGUGGGAGACUGAAGGAAAUAUGCCCUAGAGGCAAUAAUAAAGUUAUUAUUUAUUUCCUUGUAUCAUGAUAAAUGUUUAUUAUUCAUGCUAGAAUUGUAUUAACCGGAAACAUAAUACAUGUGUGAAUACAUAGACAAACAGAGUGUCACUAGUAUGCCUCUACUUGACUAGCUCGUUAAUCAAAGAUGGUUAAGUUUCCUAACCAUGAACAAUGUGUUGUUAUUUGAUUAACGAGGUCACAUCAUUAGUUGAAUGAUCUGAUUGACAUGACCCAUUUCAUUAGCUUAGCACAAGAUCGUUUAGUAUGUUGCUAUUGCUUUCUUCAUGACUUAUACAUGUUCCUAUGACUAUGAGAUUAUGCAACUCCCGUUUGCCGGAGGAACACUUUGGGUGCUACCAAACGUCACAACGUAACUAGGUGAUUAUAAAGGAGUACUACAGGUGUCUCCAAUGGUAGAUGUUGGGUUGGCGUAUUUCGAGAUUAGGAUUUGUCACUCCGAUAGUCGGAGAGGUAUCUCUGGGCCCUCUCGGUAAUGCACAUUACACAAGCCUUGCAAGCAUUGCAACUAAUGAGUUAGUUGCGGGAUGAUGUAUUACAGAACGAGUAAAGAGACUUGCCAGUAACGAGAUUGAACUAGGUAUUGGAUACCGACGAUCGAAUCUCGGGCAAGUAACAUACCGAUGACAAAGGGAACAACGUAUGUUGUUAUGCGGUCUGACUGAUAAAGAUCUUCGUAGAAUAUGUAGGAGCCAAUAUGGGCAUCCAGGUCCCGCUGUUGGUUAUUGACCGAAGACGUGUCUCGGUCAUGUCUACAUUGUUCUCGAACCGUAGGGUCCGCACGCUUAACGUUACGAUGACAGUUAUUAUGAGUUUAUACAUGUAUUGUACCGAAGGUAGUUCGGAGUCCCGGAUGUGAUCACGGACAUGACGAGGAGUCUCAAAAUGGCCGAGACAUAAAGAUUGAUAUAUUGGAAGCCUAUAUUUGUGAAGGAAAUAUGCCCUAGAGGCAAUAAUAAAGUUAUUAUUUAUUUCCUUAUAUCAUGAUAAAUGUUUAUUAUUCAUGCUAGAAUUGUAUUAACCGGAAACAUAAUACAUGUGUGAAUACAUAGACAAACAGAGUGUCACUAGUAUGCCUCUACUUGACUAGCUCGUUAAUCAAAGAUGGUUAUGUUUCCUAACCAUAAACAAAGAGUUGUUAUUUGAUUAACGAGGUCACAUCAUUAGUUGAAUGAUCUGAUUGACAUGACCCAUUCCAUUAGCUUAGCACCCGAUCGUUUAGUAUGUUGCUAUUGCUUUCUUCAUGACUUGUACAUGUUCCUAUAACUAUGAGAUUAUGCAACUCCCGUUUACCGGAGGAACACUUUGGGUACUACCAAACGUCACAACGUAACUGGGUGAUUAUAAAGGAGUACUAUAGGUGUCUCCAAUGGUAGAUGUUGGGUUGGCGUAUUUCGAGAUUAGGGUUUGUCACUCCGAUUGUCGGAGAGGUAUCUCUGGGCCCUCUCGGUAAUACACAUCACAUAAGCCUUGCAAGCAUUAUAACUAAGAUGUUAGUUGUGAGAUGAUGUAUUACGGAACGAGUAAAGAGACUUGCCAGUAACGAGAUUGAACUAGGUAUUGGAUACCGACGAUCAAAUCUCGGGCAAGUAACAUAGCGAUGACAAAGGGAACAAUGUAUGUUGUUAUGCGGUCUGACCGAUGAAGAUCUUCGUAGAAUAUGUAGGAGCCAAUAUGGGCAUCCAGGUCCCGCUAUUGGUUAUUGAUCGGAGACGUGUCUCGGUCAUGUCUACAUUGUUCUCGAACCGUAGGGUCCGCACGCUUAACGUUACGAUGACAGUUAUUAUGAGUUUAUGCAUUUUGAUGUACCGAAGGUUGUUCGGAGUCCCGGAUGUGAUCACGGACAUGACGAGGAGUCUCGAAAUGGUCGAGACGUAAAGAUUGAUAUAUUGGAAGCCUAUGUUUGGACAUCGGAUGUUCCGGGUGAAAUCGGGAUUUUACCGGAUUACCGGGAGGGUUACCGGAACCCCCCGGAGCCAAAUGGGCCAACAUGGGCCUUAGUGGAAAGGUGAAAGGGCUGCCCCAUGGGCUGCGCGCCUCCCCCCGUCCCCUAGUCCUAUUAGGACUAGGGAAGGUGGCCGGCCACCCCCUCUCUCCUUCCCACUUGAGGAAACCUAGUUGGACUAGGAUUGGAAGGGGGAGUCCUACUCCCGGUAGGAGUAGGACUCCUCCUGCGCCUCCCACCUUGGCCGGCCAGCCCCUCCCCUUGAAACCUUUAUAUAUGGGGGCAGGGGGCACCUCUAGACACACAAGUUGAUCCUUGAGAUCGUUCCUUAGCCGUGUGCGGUGCCCCGUGCCACCAAAUUCCACCUCGAUCAUACCGUUGUAGUGCUUGGGCGAAGCCCUGCGUUGGUAGUACAUCAAGAUCAUCACCACGCCAUCGUGCUGACGGAACUCUUCCUCGACGCUUUGCUGGAUCGGAGCCCGAGGAUCGUCAUCGAGCUGAAUGUGUGCUAAGAACUCAGAGGUGCCGGGGUAACGGUGCUUGGAUCGGUCGGAUCGGGAAGACGUACGACUACUUCCUCUACGUUGUGUGAUCGCUUCCGCAGUCGGUCUGCGUUGGUACGUAGACAACACUCUCCCCUCUCGUUGCUAUGCAUCACCAUGAUCUUGCGUGUGCGUAGGAAUUUUUUUGAAAUUACUACGUUCCCAAAUAGUGGCAUCCGAGCCUAGGUUUUAUGGUUUGAUGUUAUAUGCACGAGUAGAACACAAGUGAGUUGUGGGCGAUAUAAGUCAUACUGCCUACCAGCAUGUCAUACUUUGGUUCGGCGGUAUUGUUGGAUGAAGCGGCCCGGACCGACAUUACGCGUACGCUUACGCGAGACCGGUUUCCCCGACGUGCUUUGCACAUAGGUGACUUGCGGGUGACUGUUUCUCCCACUUUAGUUGAACCGAGUGUGGCUAUGCCCGGUCCUUGCGAAGGUUAAAACGGAGUCUAUUUGACAAACUAUCGUUGUGGUUUUGAUGCGUAGGUAAGAUUGGUUCUUGCUAAGCCCGUAGCAGCCACGUAAAAUUUGCAACAACAAAGUAGAGGACGUCUAACUUGUUUUUGCAGGGCAUGUUGUGAUGUGAUAUGGUCAAAACGUGAUGAGUUAUAAGUUGUUGUAUAAGAUGAUCAUGUUUUGUUGAAGUUAUCGGCAACUGGCAAAAGCCUUAUGGUUGUUUGUCUAUUGCAUAAGAUGCAAGCGCCCAAUAAUUGCUUUACUUUAUCGCUAUGCGAUAGCAAUAGUUGCAAGAGCAAUAGUUGGCGAGACGACCAUGUGACGACAUAUUGAUAUAGAUCAAGAUGAUGGAGAUCAUGAUGUCAUGACGGUGACGAUGGAAAUCAUGAUGAUGCUUUGAAGAUGGAGAUCAAAGGCACAAGAUGAUGAUGGCCAUAUCAUGUCACAUAUUUUGAUUGCAUGUGAUGUUUAUCUUUUUAUGCAUCUUAUCUUGCUUUGAUUGACGGUAGCAUUAUAAGAUGAUCUCUCACUAAAUUAUCAAGAAGUGUUCUCCCUGAGUAUGCACCGUUGCCAAAGUUCGUCGUGCCCAGACACCACGUGAUGAUCGGGUGUGAUAAGCUCUACGUCCAUCUACAACGGGUGCAAGCCAGUUUUGCACACGCAGAAUACUCAGGUUAAACUUGACGAGCCUAGCAUAUGCAGAUAUGGCCUCGGAACACAGAGACCGAAAGGUCGAGCGUGAAUCAUAUAGUAGAUAUGAUCAACAUGACGAUGUUCACCAUUGAAAACUACUCCAUCUCACGUGAUGAUCGGUUAUGGUUUAGUUGAUUUGGAUCACGUAAUCACUUAGAGGAUUAGAGGGAUGUCUAUCUAAGUGGGAGUUCCUAAGUAAUUUGAUUAACUGAACUUAAACUUAUCAUGAACUUAGUACCUGAUAGUAUCUUGCUUGUUUAUGUUGAUUGUAGAUAGAUGGCUCGUGCUGUUGUUCCGUUGAAUUUUAAUGCGUUCCUUGAGAAAGCAAAGUUGAAAGAUGAUGGUAGCAAUUACACGGACUGGGUCCGUAACCUGAGGAUUAUCCUCAUUGCUGCACAGAAGAAUUACGUCCUGGAAGCACCGCUGGGUGCCAGGCCUGCUGCUGGAGCAAUGCCAGAUGUUAUGAACGUCUGGCAGAGCAAAGCUGAUGACUACUCGAUAGUUUAGUGUGCCAUGCUUUACGGCUUAGAAUCGGGACUUCAACGACGUUUUGAACGUCAUGGAGCAUAUGAGAUGUUCCAGGAGUUGAAGUUAAUAUUUCAAGCAAAUGCCCGAAUUGAGAGAUAUGAAGUCUCCAAUAAGUUCUAUAGCUGCAAGAUGGAGGAGAACAGUUCUGUCAGUGAGCAUAUACUCAAAAUGUCUGGGUAUAAUAAUCACUUGAUCCAGAUGGGAGUUAAUCUUCCAGAUGAUUGCGUCAUUGGCAGAAUUCUCCAAUCACUGCCACCAAGCUACAAGAGCUUCGUGAUGAACUAUAAUAUGCAAGGGAUGAACAAGACUAUUCCCGAGCUCUUCGCAAUGCUGAAAGCUGCGGAGGUAGAAAUCAAGAAGGAGCAUCAAGUGUUGAUGGUCAACAAGACCACUAGUUUCAAGAAAAAAGGCAAAGGGAAGAAGAAGGGGAACUUCAAGAAGAACAGCAAGCAAGUUGCUGAUCAGGAGAAGAAACCCAAGUCUGGACCUAAGCCUGAAACUGAGUGCUUCUACUGCAAGCAGACUGGUCACUGGAAGCGGAACUGCCCCAAGUAUUUGGCGGAUAAGAAGGAUGGCAAGGUGAACAAAGGUAUAUGUGAUAUACAUGUUAUUGAUGUGUACCUUACUAGAGCUCGCAGUAGCACCUGGGUAUUUGAUACUGGUUCUGUUGCUAAUAUUUGCAACUCGAAACAGGGACUACGGAAUAAGCGGACGCUAGCAAAGGACGAGGUGACGAUGCGCGUGGGAAACGGUUCCAAAGUCGAUGUGAUCACGGUCGGCACGCUACCUCUACAUCUACCUUCGGGAUUAAUAUUAGACCUAAAUAAUUGUUAUUUGGUGCCAGCGUUGAGCAUGAACAUUAUAUCUGGAUCUUGUUUAAUGCGAGACGGUUAUUCAUUUAAAUCAGAGAAUAAUGGUUGUUCUAUUUAUAUGAGUAAUAUCUAUUAUGGUCAUGCACCUUUGAAGAGUGGUCUAUUCUUGUUGAAUCUCGAUAGUAGUGAUACACAUAUUCAUAAUGUAGAAGCCAAAAGAUGCAGAGUUGAUAAUGAUAGUGCAACUUAUUUGUGGCACUGCCGUUUAGGUCAUAUCGGUGUAAAGCGCAUGAAGAAACUCCAUACUGAUGGGCUUUUGGAACCACUUGAUUAUGAAUCACUUGGUACUUGCGAACCGUGCCUCAUAGGCAAGAUGACUAAAACACAGUUCUCCGGUACUAUGGAGAGAGCAACAAAUUUAUUGGAAAUCAUACAUACCGAUGUAUGUGGUCCGAUGAAUAUUGAGGCUCGUGGCGGAUAUCGUUAUUUUCUCACCUUCACAAAUGAUUUAAGCAGAUAUUGGUAUAUCUACUUAAUGAAACAUAAGUCUGAAACAUUUGAAAAGUUCAAGGAAUUUUAGAGUGAAGUUGAAAAUCAUCGUAACAAGAAAAUAAAGUUUCUACGAUCUGAUCGUGGAGGAGAAUAUUUGAGUUACGAGUUUGGUGUACAUUUGAAAAAUUGUGGAAUAGUUUCGCAACUCACGCCACCCGGAACACCACAGCGUAAUGGUGUGUCCGAACGUCGUAAUCGUACUUUACUAGAUAUGGUGCGAUCUAUGAUGUCUCUUACUGAUUUACCGCUAUCGUUUUGGGGUUAUGCUUUAGAGACGGCCGCAUUCACGUUAAAUAGGGCACCAUCAAAAUCCGUUGAGACGACGCCUUAUGAACUAUGGUUUGGCAAGAAACCAAAGUUGUCGUUUCUUGAAGUUUGGGGUUGCGAUGCUUAUGAGAAAAAGUUUCAUCCUGAUAAGCUCAAACCCAAAUCGGAGAAAUAUGUCUUCAUAUGAUACCCAAAGGAGACUGUUGGGUAUACCUUCUAUCACAGAUCCGAAGGCAAGACAUUCGUUGCUAAGAAUGGAUCAUUUCUAGAGAAGGAGUUUUUCUCGAAAGGAGUGAGUGGGAGGAAAGUAGAACUAGAUGAGGUAACUGUACCUGCUCCCUUAUUGGAAAAUAGUACAUCACAGAAAACUGUUUCUGCGACACCUAUACCAAUUAGUGAGGAUGCUGAUGAUGAUGAUCAUGAAACUUCAGGACAAGAUACUACUGAACCACGUAGAUCAACAAGAGUGAGAUCCGCACCAGAGUGGUACGGUAAUCCAAUUCUGGAAGUCAUGCUACUAGAUCAUGAUGAACCUAUGAACUAUGAAGAAGCGAUGGUGAGCCCAGAUUCCGCAAAGUGGCUUGAGGCCAUGAAAUCUGAGAUGGGAUCCAUGUAUGAGAACAAAGUAUGGACUUUGGUUGACUUCCCGAUGAUCGGCAAGCAAUUGAGAAUAAAUGGAUCUUCAAGAAAAAGACUGAAGCUGACGGUAAUAUUACUGUCUAUAAAGCUUGACUUGUCGCUAAAGGUUUUCGACAAGUUCAAGGGGUUGACUACGAUGAGACCUUCUCACCCGUAGCGAUGCUUAAGUCCGUCAGAAUCAUGUUAGCAAUUGCCGCAUUUUAUGAUUAUGAAAUAUGGCAGAUGGAUGUCAAAACUGCAUUCCUGAAUGGAUAUCUGGAAGAAGAGUUGUAUAUGAUGCAACCAGAAGGUUUUGUCGAUCCAAAGGGAGCUAACAAAGUAUGCAAACUCCAGCGAUCCAUUUAUGGACUGGUACAAGCAUCUCGGAGUUGGAAUAAACGCUUUGAUAGUGUGAUCAAAGCAUUUGGCUUUAUACAGACUUUUGGAGAAGCCUGUAUUUACAAGAAAGUGAGUGGGAGCUCUGUAGCAUUUCUGAUAUUAUAUGUGGAUGACAUAUUGCUGAUUGGAAAUGAUAUAGAAUUUCUGGAUAGCAUAAAGGGAUACUUGAAUAAAAGUUUUUCGAUGAAAGACCUCGGGGAAGCUGCUUACAUAUUAGGCAUAAAGAUCUAUAGAGAUAGAUCAAGACGCUUAAUUGGACUUUCACAAAGCACAUACCUUGACAAGAUUUUGAAGAAGUUCAAAAUGGAUCAAGCAAAGAAAGGGUUCUUGCCUGUGUUACAAGGUGUGAAGUUGAGUCAGACUCAAUGCCCGACCACUGCAGAAGAUAGAGAGAAAAUGAAAGAUGUUCCCUAUGCUUCAGCCGUAGGCUCUAUCAUGUAUGCAAUGCUGUGUACCAGACCUGAUGUGUGCCUUGCUAUAAGUUUAGCAGGGAGGUACCAAAGUAAUCCAGGAGUGGAUCACUGGCAGCGGUCAAGAACAUCCUGAAAUACCUGAAAAGGACUAAGGAUAUGUUUCUCGUAUAUGGAGGUGACAAAGAGCUCACCGUAAGAGGUUACGUUGAUGCAAGCUUUGACACUGAUCCGGACGAUUCUAAAUCGCAAACCGGAUACGUGUUUACUUUAAACGGUGGAGCUGUCAGUUGGUGCAGUUCUAAACAAAGUGUCGUAGCGGGAUCUACAUGUGAAGCGGAGUACAUAGCUGCUUCGGAAGCAGCGAACGAAGGAGUCUGGAUGAAGGAGUUCAUAUCCGAUCUAGGUGUCAUACCUAGUGCAUCGGGUCCAAUGAAAAUCUUUUGUGACAAUACUGGUGCAAUUGCUUUGGCAAAGGAAUCCAGAUUUCACAAAAGGACCAAACACAUCAAGAGACGCUUCAACUCCAUCCGGGAUCUAGUCCAGGUGGGAGACAUAGAGAUUUGCAAGAUACAUACGGAUCUGAAUGUUGCACACCCGUUGACUAAGCCUCUUCCACGAGCAAAACAUGAUCAGCACCAAGGCUCCAUGGGUGUUAGAAUCAUUACUGUGUAAUCUAGAUUAUUGACUCUAGUGCAAGUGGGAGACUGAAGGAAAUAUGCCCUAGAGGCAAUAAUAAAGUUAUUAUUUAUUUCCUUAUAUCAUGAUAAAUGUUUAUUAUUCAUGCUAGAAUCGUAUUAACCGGAAACAUAAUACAUGUGUGAAUACAUAGACAAACAGAGUGUCACUAGUAUGCCUCUACUUGACUAGCUCGUUAAUCAAAGAUGGUUAUGUUUCCUAACCAUAAACAAAGAGUUGUUAUUUGAUUAACGAGGUCACAUCAUUAGUUGAAUGAUCUGAUUGACAUGACCCAUUCCAUUAGCUUAGCACCCGAUCAUUUAGUAUGUUGCUAUUGCUUUCUUCAUGACUUAUAGAUGUUCCUAUAACUAUGAGAUUAUGCAACUCCCGUUUACCGGAGGAACACUUUGGGUACUACCAAACGUCACAACGUAACUGGGUGAUUAUAAAGGAGUACUACAGGUGUCUCCAAUGGUAGAUGUUGGGUUGGCGUAUUUCGAGAUUAGGGUUUGUCACUCCGAUUGUCGGAGAGGUAUCUCUGGGCCCUCUCGAUAAUACACAUCACAUAAGCCUUGCAAGCAUUAUAACUAAGAUGUUAGUUGUGAGAUGAUGUAUUACGGAACGAGUAAAGAGACUUGCCAGUAACGAGAUUGAAAUAGGUAUUGGAUACCGACGAUCGAAUCUCGGGCAAGUAACAUACCGAUGACAAAGGGAACAACGUAUGUUGUUAUGCGGUCUGACCGAUAAAGAUCUUCAUAGAAUAUGUAGGAGCCAAUAUGGGCAUCCAGGUCCCGCUAUUGGUUAUUGACCGGAGAUGUGUCUCGGUCAUGUCUACAUUGUUCUCGAACCGUAGGGUCCGCACGCUUAACGUUACGAUGACAGUUAUUAUGAGUUUAUACAUUUUGAUGUACCGAAGGUUGUUCGGAGUCCCGGAUGUGAUCACGGACAUGACGAGGAGACUCGAAAUGGUCGAGAUGUAAAGAUUGAUAUAUUGGAAGCCUAUGUUUGGACAUCGGAAGUGUUCCGGGUGAAAUCGGGAUUUUACCGGAUUACCGGGAGGGUUACCGGAACCCCCCGGGAGCCAAAUGGGCCAACAUGGGCCUUAGUGGAAAGGUGAAAGGGCUGCCCCAUGGGCUGCGCGCCUCCCCCCUUCCCCUAGUCCUAUUAGGACUAGGGAAGGUGGCCGGCCACCCCCUCUCUCCUUCCCACUUGAGGAAACCUAGUUGGACUAGGAUUGGAAGGGGGAGUCCUACUCCCGGUAGGAGUAGGACUCCUCCUGCGCCUCCCACCUUGGCCGGCCAGCCCCUCCCCUUGAAAACUUUAUAUACGGGGGCAGGGGCACCUCUAGACACAAAAGUUGAUCCUUGAGAUUGUUCCUUAGCCGUGUGCGGUGCCCCUGCCACCAAAUUCCACCUCGAUCAUACCGUUGUAGUGCUUAGGCGAAGCCCUGCGUUGGUAGUACAUCAAGAUCGUCACCACGCCAUCGUGCUGACGGAACUCUUCCUCGACGCUUUGCUGGAUCGGAGCCUAAGGAUCGUCAUCGAGCUGAACGUGUCCUAAGAACUCGGAGGUGCCGGAGUAACGGUGCUUGGAUCGGUCGGAUCGGGAAGACGUACGACUACUUCCUCUAUGUUGUGUGAUCGCUUCCGCAGUCGGUCUGCGUUGGUACGUAGACAACACUCUCCCCUCUCGUUGCUAUGCAUCACCAUGAUCUUGCGUGUGCGUAGGAAAUUUUUUGAAAUUACUACAUUCCCAAACAAUUUGGAUAUCGGAAGUGUUCCGGGUAAAAUUGGGAUUUUACCGGAUUACCGGGAGGUUACCGGAACCCCCCGGGAGCCAUAUGGGCCUUAUUGGGCUCUAGUGGAAAGGUGAAAGGGGCUGCCCAUAGUGGGCUGCGCGCCUCCCCCCUCCCCUAGUCCUAUUAGGACUAGGAGAGGUGGCCGACCACCUCUCUCUCUCUCUCUCUCUCUUUCCCCCUUGGGAGUCCUAUUAGGAAUAGGAUUGGGGGGGGGGGGAGUCCUACUCCCGGUAGGAGUAGGACUCCUCCUGCGCCUCCAUAGGCUUGGCUGGCCAGCCCUCCCCCUGGCAUCCUUUAUAUACGGGGGCAGGGGCACCUCUAGACACACAAGUUGAUCCUUGGUGGUCGUUCCUUAGCCGUGUGCGGUGCCCCCUGCCACCAAAUUCCACCUCGAUCAUAUUGUUGCAGUGCUUAGGCGAAGCCCUGCAUCAGUAGUACAUCAAGAUCGUCACCACGCCGUCGUGCUGACAGAACUCUUCCUCAACGCUUUGCUGGAUCGGAGCCCGAGGAUCGUCAUCGAGCUGUACGUGUGCUAAGAACUCGGAGGUGCCGGAGUAACGGUGCUUGGAUCGGUCGGAUCAGAAAGAAGACGUACGACUACUUCCUCUACGUUGUGUGAUCGCUUCCGUAGUCGGUCUGCGUUGGUACGUAGACAACACUCUCCCCCCUCGUUGCUAUGCAUCACCAUGAUCUUGCGUGUGCGUAGGAUUUUUUUUUGAAAUUACUACGUUCCCCAACAGGUUUGCUGAAUUAUGUAUGUAUUUCUUGUGUGUCCAGUAGCUAGGCAAGAUGAGUGAUCGUGCGUGGAUGUACACCGGUCACCCUAGUCAGAAAGACAUGACCCCUGAAUGGAUGACAAAAACCAAGGGGUUUAUCAGAGCCGCAGUUGCAAAUGGACAGGAAACAACCUGGUGCCCCUAUGUCAAGUGUGACAACUAUCGUAAGAUGUCAGAGUUUGAAAUGAUCAAACACCUGCAGAAGUGGGGUUUUACGCCCGGUUAUACGAUGUGGACAUUUCAUGGUGAGUCUGCCCAAUGUUCCAGAGUUGUGGAGGGCCGUCGUCGCAUUGACGAGCAUGGUACCGGGAUGGAAGACAUGGUGCAAGACUUUGAUGAUGCUCGGGAUUCGGACGAUGAGAUGGAGGAAUCUGCAAAGGCCUUCAAUGAUAUGUUGGAGUCUUCGAAGCGUCCUCUCCACGAGCACACCGAGCUUUGUCAGCUGGAUGCCAUCGCACAAGUAAUGGCUCUGGAGGCUCAAUUCAACUUGGGCAGAGAAUGCUAUGACGCGAUGGUGACACUAUUUGGACGCUUUCUACCCAAAGGCCAUAUAAUGCCUGCAAACCUGUACCAGUCGGACAAAAUCCUCCGUGUACUUAAGAUGCCCUAUGAGAAGAUAGAUGCCUGUGAGAAUGGAUGUGCCUUAUUUAGGCUCCAGUAUGCGGACUUGAACUAUUGUCCCAUUUGCAAGUCUUCCAGGUAUGUUGAGGUAGACAACAGUAUGGGUGAGAAGAGUCAGACCAAAAUCCCCAUUAACGUUCUUCGGUAUAUGCCAAUCAUACCAAGACUUCAACGUCUAUUCAUGGUCGAAGAGACGGCCAGACAGAUGAUAUGGCACAAAUUGGGCAAAAGAACCGAACGGGAUGCAGAUGGGAAUCUGAUGAUGGUACACACAUCGGAUGGUGCUGCAUGGAAACACUUCGAUGCAUUGCAUGAUGAAAAAGCGGAAGAUCCAAGGAAUCCUCGAGUAGCCAUCAGCACGGAUGGGUUCAAUGUGUUUGGUAUGAUGGCAGCCCAAUACAGUUGUUGGCCUGUAUUUGUCAUUCCACUCAAUCUCCCCCCGGACAGAUUAUGCAAAGAAAGAACAUUUUCCUGACGUUGAUAAUUCCGGGGCCUAACUAUCUGGGGAAGAAUAUGAAUGUGUACAUGCAGCCGCUUAAGGAUGAACUACAAGAAGCUUGGGAUAAUGGGAUCAAGACAUAUGACGCCGCUACAAAAAAACUUCCUAAUGCGUGUGUGGUACAUGUACUCGAUGCAUGACUUGCCGGCGUAUGCGCUAUUCGUUGGCUGGUGUGUGCAUGGAAGGUUCCCGUGCCCCACAUGCAAGGCAGCUCUUGAGCUUCGUCGGCUGCAGGCGGGUGGCAAGUUUUCUUGCUUCUACAUGCAUAGACAGUUCCUGGAUCCUCACCAUAAGUUCAGAAAAGACAAGAAGAACUUCAUCAAAGGUAGAGAUGUCAAAAACUCUGCACCACCUGCGUUGACAGGCCAACAGACCCUGGAUCAGUUAAAUGCUCUCGAGACGGAUCCAGAGCGUCCAGGGUAUUUCAAGGGGUAUAAUACGGAACACGCCUGGACCCACAAGAUAUGCUUGUGGGAUCUGCCGUACUUCAAAGACCUCCUUUGCCCACACAACAUCGACGUGAUGCACACUGAAAAGAAUGUCGGCGAGGCCAUCUUUGGUACAUUGUUCGGCAUAGAGGGGAAAACGAAGGAUAAUCCUAAGGCCAGAGUCGAUCAGGAGGCUCUAUGUGAUAGACCGCUACAAAACAUGAAACAACCAAAAGGAAAGAAGAACUCGGCGAAGCCAAAGGCAUGGUUCAAUCUUGGAAGGCCGGUUAUGAGGGAAAUACUCCUGUGGGUGAAAAAGGAGUUGAUGUUCCCCGAUGGGUAUGCAUCGAAUCUAAAGAGGGGGGCAAGCCUUGAAAAAUUGAAAAUAUUUGGUCUCAAGAGUCAUGAUUGGCACAUAUGGCUUGAGCGGGUAAUGCCGGUGAUGUUGCGUGGCUUUAUCCCUGAGGAUGAAUGGCUAGUACUGGCAGAGCUGAGCUAUUUCUUCCGUGUUCUAUGUGCGAAAGAAUUAUCGCCUGGCUUGAUAGAAGAAAUGGAAGAGUUGGCGCCGGAGUUGAUCUGCAAGUUGGAGAUGAUCUUUCCACCUGGCUUCUUUAAUCCAAUGCAGCAUUUGAUUUUGCAUCUCCCGACCGAGGCACGAUUGGGGGGCCCGUGCAUAAUCGUUGGUGCUACGCAACUGAGAGGAUGCAGAAGACCCUUCGAGCAAAAUGUAAAAAUAAACGUCGAAUUGAAGCAUCGAUGGCCGAGGCAUUCAUUACUGAGGAGGCGGAAAACUUCGUGACAGCACACUACAAAGCCAAAAAUUGUCAUUUGCAUAAUCCGAAGCCUCGGUACAAUGUUGGCGGCCCUAAAAAGGGUGGAUCCAACCUCAGCCUAUUCAAAGGGAAGCUCGCACUAGCCGGUGCUUAUACUCCCUUAUUGUUGGAUAACGACGAAUGGCGGACCACAACCUCUACUUCAUUUGAACUGCUCUUAUUCCCGGAUAUUUGAUACAGUCGAUACGUCGCCAAAUUCUCGUAUGGAGCGGUUAUCCAAAAGGAUUCCGUCGAAGAGUAUGAGCUUCUGGCAAUGCAUGGAGGCGGCUAUCCCGGUUUCAUCUCUUGGUUCAAACAAACGGUAAUUUCCAUUAGACCAUUUCAUUUCUUCUUCUAAUUUCUGGCUAAUGCAACAAUCCUUUCGUAUUGAACUUGUAGGCUAGUUCAGAGUCUAUGGACGCUGAAUUGACACAAGUCGCUAAUGGUUUUGACUAUAAGGUCCAUUCAUUUGACAAAUACGACAUCAACGGGUAUCGCUUUUGUACCUAUGGCAAAGAGCUAUCUAUGGCCGACCGAAAGUCUACAAAUUGUUGUCUCUCUGCUAUCGGUGAAGGAGAUACCGAGUAUUAUGGAAGAGUUGAAGCAAUUUAUGAACUUCUAUUCUAUGGUGCAAACCCACCGAACGUCGUAGUCUUCAAAUGUCAUUGGUUCCAGCCGAAAGAGACUAGAAGGACUCAUGAACAUCUAGGGCUAGUCGAAAUCAAACAAAGCACCCAUUUGGAUGUUCCCGAUGUCUAUAUUACGGCUCAACAGGCAACCCAAGUUUUCUAUCUACCGUGGGCCUGCCAAAGUGAUCCAAAUCUCGAAGGUUGGGAUGUCGUUUAUGAAGUGCCGCCACGUGUUAGACCACCUCCCCCAAUGAAGAGGAUUAUGAACCUCACAUUAAUCCAGACACAUAUGAAGGAGAAUUGUUCCAAGAAACACGUCUUUCCAAAAAACGUUUCAAGAACCGCUCACCUCAGAACAUUCAAGUAGACAGCGGCAGUGAAUCCGAGCCUGAGCAGGAACAAGAAGAGCCGGAACAAGAAGAGGUUACUGCUGCGGAUGACCUGUCAAUGCUUGACCGAUUACAUACAAGAGGCCUUCCAGAUGUUGAUGAAUUUAUUGAUGAUGAUGAUGAGCACGUCAUUACUGAUAGUGAUGAGGAUGAUGCAUUUAUUGACCCCAAAGCAUAUAUAGACGAUGAUGAUGCAUUUAUUAAUGAUGACGAUGAAGAUUAAUAUUAUAGUUCAUGUCAGGUAUUCCAUUAUUAUUAUAUACAUAUAUAUUAUUAAUUAGUUCAAGUUUUAACCUAGCUAGCUCAAAAAUGACCUAUUUAACAUAGGAUAGCUCUAAAAUGAGCUAUACUUAGCAUUUAUUCCUCCAAAAUGAAUUUAUAUGCUUAGCUAGCUCAAAAAUGACAUAACAACCUUAAUUAGCUCAAAAAUGAUCUAUUUAACCUAGGAUAGCUCUAAAAUGAGCUAUACUUAGCAUUUAUUCCUCUAAAAUAAAGGGUCGCGCUAUUCGUCACCCUGGGUGAGGAAUUCUUAUUCCUCACCCCAGCCACCCUGUACGAGCUACACACACCACGCCACAACCAUCGUAAGAGACAAAAGCUGUCUGAGGUAAAAUUACACCACACCACAACCACCGUAAGAAACAAAAGUUGUUUGAGGUAAAAUUAUAUUCGAGUGGGUGCCACAUCCACCAUAGAAACAAAACGCUUGUGAGGCAAAAUUAUGACACGGAGCCGAGUAACCUGUCCUUCUCGCAAGGCGGGUGCGAUGUAAAGUUAAGGUGAGGAUGGUCAGAGAAGGUAAGUUUCAGAUAAUUGUUUGGGAACCUGACUCCUAAUUCUGUUAAAGAACUGGCAGGACAAUUUAUAUUGGCGUCAUAUGCUGCAAUUGUCAGUGAAAUCAAGGAGAUUAAUAUUAUCUUUCCAGUUAUUGGUACGAAAGCAAAUACAGUUGCGCACAUGUGUGCAAAAAUUGUUGUUCGUGCGAGUAGAUGGAGCUGGUGGCUGAGCUCUGCCCCUGAUUUCCAAUAUACUACCCCUGCAACAAAAGUAUACUUUUGAGAAUGAAAUAACUCCUAAAGUUAUAGGGUUUCUUUUUUGAGAAUUAAGAUUCUAUAGGAAUGUGUCCGGAGGCUGUCAGGUAAUGAUAUUGCAAGAUUGAACUGCUGAAGCUUAAUGACAGAUUUUACAACUAUAAACUGUAGUCAGAAAAACAUUAAAACAUGGAUAUAUUCUUACCAACAACCCAGUGAAUGAGACAUGAUGGUCCGAGAUAAAUAGAGCAAUGCUCUUUGCUAGAGAAAAGCACGCAUGCAGAUUUUUUCUUAUAACAUGUAUACAUAAAGAGAAUUAAAUUAGAUGAUAAAAUAAAUAGAGGAAUGCUCUUCCCUGAGGAAAACAAACGCAUGCAUAUUUUUACUUAUACAUAGCAUAUACAUACAGAGAAUUAAACUAGAUGGUAACAGAAAUUGCACAUGCAUCAGUCAGAAUUUACCUUUUCAUAUAGGAGUUUAUGAUAUUUGAAGUUCAUAGUGUCUGGCUACUGUGCUCCCAUUUUAUGUCUACAUUUUUUUCGUCUGAAUUGCUAUGUGUAGUUGGCAUACUGUUAAUUUACUGAUCUGGAUCUAACGUCAGGCAUAUUUGGGGUAUGUGCCUAAAAGUGUCUACAUUUUAUCUCUUCUGUUAUGCUUGCAUAAUGUAAAAAUGGAUCAAGGAAUUUGUAGAUUCAGAGCGCUCACCAAUACUCCUGCAAUCUCUUUAGUGGGUUUCAUUGUCUGGGUCACUAUCUACUUAUGCUUGUUACGCUACCUGUUGCUAGAUGGAUGGAUACAUUAUUAAAUAGGUUGAUGCUUUAUUCCACAUCUAUGUCUAAAGGAACUGACCUUUUGAAUCAUUGCUGACAAUCUAGUAAAUCACAGGAGAAGGACCAUUAAAUUACUCCAUGCGCUGAGCUGAAACAUAUUGGCAUAUCACUGAGGAAAAGAAAGAAACUACAAAAUUGACUAAUUUGUAGAAUGAUAGAAUUACACGCAUAGUUCACUAGUAGAAAAAGGGUCAAACGUGAAGCACAUUAGUGCCGGUUUGUAUUUGAGCUGGUACUAAUGGUACCAUUAGUGCCGGUUUGAACGGAUUUGCAUUAAUGCCGGUUCGUGUUGAACCUUUAGUACCGGUUCGUGGCACGAACCGGUACUAAAGGGGUGGUGGCAGGCUGGCGUCAGGCCGGGGCCCCACGAUCACCUUUAGUACCGGUUCGUGGCACGAACCGGUACUAAAGGUCUAACCUAUAGUACCGUUUCAUGCCAUGAACCGGUACUAACGGGGUCUGACCUAUAGUACCGGUUGGAGACACAAACCGGCACUAUAGGGCAAUUUUCAAACUCUACCCCCCCUGUGGAUCGCCUUUUCAGUUUAAAAAAAAAGAAACGAAAAUUAUGGAAAUGUCAAAAAAAUAAAAGAAAAUAAGUUUCCCAUGUGAUAUGUGGUCUAGUUGUUGGGAAAAUUUGCAAAUGUGAAUUUUGACUUUAUUUGCAAAAUCUCUCUGAAAUUUAUAAAAAUGGUCAUAAAUUUUGCAUACUAACUCGGAUGAAAAAGUUUUUUAUAUGAAAAAUCAUCUACUCGAAAAGUUACAUCCAAAUUUUAAACAUUUGCAAAAUCCUCAAAAACCUAAUAGAAAAAAAGUUACGGGGCUUUUAAGAUCUAGAGUGGAAAAAAUUGAAAAAUAUUCAAACUGUGGGCAAACUGUGGUCAAACAAUGGUCAAACUAGUUAUUCUAGAAUAUUAGUGUUACUAAAUAAUUAUUUCAAUUUUUUGAAUUUUGGUCAAAUCUGGUCAAACUGUGGUCAAACUAUGGUCAAACUUAUUCAAGAAAUAUUAGCGUUACUAAAUAAUUACUGUUUUUUUUAGAAUAAUAGUUUCAAACUCAAACGGUGAAAUGUGUGACUUCAUGCUCAAGCUAAACUCCUGAGGGUUAACAGGAUUGACAUCUUACUAUUGUCAGGAAAACAACAAGUGCAGACUCGGAAAUGAAGGAGAAUAGAACCUGAAAGUUAAGCGUGCUCGGGCUGGAGUAGUGAGAGGGAUGGGUGACCGGUCGGGAAGUUAGAUGAUUUGGAAUGAGUGAUCCACACUUGAGCAGUUAAGAGAGGUGAUUAGAGACUAAAUCAUCAAAUAAUUCAGAAAAAUUAAAAAUAAAAAAAAUCAAAUCAUCAACCGGUACCGGUUGGUAACACCAACCGGUACUAAAGGUCCCCCGUACCAGGGUGCGAGCUCACGCCACGUGGUGGCACUUUAGCGCCGGUUCGUGCCGAAUCGGUUCUAAGGGGGGGGGGCUUUAGUGCCGAAAUUUUAGUGCCGGUUCCAUAACCGGCACUAAAGGCCCUUACAAACCGGUACUAAUGAACCUUUUUCUACUAGUGGUUCUUUAUUUCCAGAUAUACCAUUUCCAAAGACCAAAUAGAGCUGAAAUUAUAUUAGUGGCCCAGGUAAAUAAAAUAGGGGCGUCGUAGGUGCUUGUUACCAUUAACUACAGCUGAGAUUAAAAUAAGGGCCCAGGUAAAAAAAAUA
rnacentral:lncRNA from 1 species